UCUGCCCGCUCCUCUUCUCCGCCUCUCCUGUCUCCCACCACUCUUCCUUUUAAGUACAAGACAUACUCUUCCAGGGAAAAGUCUCCAAUGCUGCUGGCUGAAGGGGAAAAGGCAAUCAACUGGUGAUGAUUUAGGGCCUGACUAGCCAGGAUGGGAGAAGACUCUCGCUUCUCUUUUCCUCGUCGCUGCGUCCUUUUCAGAUGCACUAGGGUGGCAGGAGGAGAGUAGGAAGAACUGAAACCCAGCUCCCCCCUCCUUCUAUGUCUGUGGUCUCAGGAUUAACGUGCCAUACGAUAAAUCUUAUCUUCAGAUUAAGAUCAUCUAAGAUUUCGGGAUCAAGCAAAAGAAGACAUCAAAUUCUAGCAACUUUAAUGAAGCCGUGCACCCUAGAAAUAUUUGAAAUGGUCUAUGGCUUGAGGCAAAGGAAGAAAACCGAAGUCAUGCCAGUGUCAAAAGUCAUGUUUCCCUUCAGAAUCAUGGAUCCUUAUCUGGAAAUAAAGAUCUAAUAAAUCAUGGAUCUAAAUCUGGAAACAGAUUCUUCAACUGAUUCUUAAACCACUUACCUUCAACAGGCAAACAACCAGAUGAAACCACUGAUGCCUCUCAUUUUAACCAGAUCUUCCAUUAUUGUUCUUUUUUUUCAUACACUGGUGCCAGUGAACAAGUAUUCCAGUUUUUCUGACCCCCUUUUGGAGACUUGGCAAACCCUUGUCAUUUUCCAAAUGGUGAAAAAAUGUCUUUGUCCUGGAAAACGUUAUGUGACUGGAAUAUUUUGGUUUCUGGGUACAGAUGGAGCACCUGAACUCACUGACACUCCUGGUUGGUCUUCUUCGCUCAGGACACUCCAUGCACUAGCAUGAGUCAUUGCUCUCAGCAUCAGCAGGAAUUGGGCUGUGCCCCCAGUUCCUAAAUGAGACUUUGCUGGUCCUGAUAGCAGCCUUUUCAAGAAAUUUUAACUAGAAAAGAGAUCAGAAGAGGAAACUCUUCUCUAUUACACUUAGUCCACUGACUUUCCAAAAAACAAAUUGUAAAGUAUGUGAUUGAACUUCAUGCAUAAGUUGUAGAUGUGCUCAAUAGAGAUAGAGAAGAAGAGAGAAAAACAACUUAACUGAGAGGUGUGCAUUCCUAGUUUUGUUAUAUCAUAGGUGUGUUUGACCAUGACACUAAAUAAAUCUUUUGAUCCGAGGUCCUACAUGGGGCAUUAUGGAUGCUGCUAAAAGAAACCCCAUCAGCUUUUACAGCUCAGCUGUCAUGUGAGGAAGUGAGGACAGAAAGCAAACAACAGUGUAAACUUUCCAUUGAAGAGGAAGGACUUCCUGUGGUUUGAAGCUCAAAGUCUUGUUAGUGUCUCUGCAAGUAGAAAUCUUCAAUACCCCAAAAUACCAUAAAAUUCUUUUGAACAUUACUUGUGCUUAGAUCACUUUAAAAUUAAAACAUGAAUUCAUCAUCCUUUUUGGCUCACAGAAAGCUUCAAUAAUGUAUACCUCACCCAAGAUGGUUCCAUUGAUUCACAGUGGUGACGAGGAGACAUGAAUUUAAAUAGUCUUGGAGUAUGUACUUUAACCUAUAUUAAGCCACUAUUUUCAGAGCUUUUUGCCAUUAAAAGAAAUAGAAAUUAAAUGGAUGACAUAGAUGACAUAACAUGACUUCUUAUUCAGAUCAAAGGAGCCUUUCACUGGAAUUUACUAUUGAGUAAAGCUAAGAUUGCCUUUUAUUUUGCAGAUGUCUAGGUUUAACUUAAAUUAAUAAAGAUAACAUUUUGCAUUAUAAUACUUAUAGCAGUUAUUUAUUGCUUACUACAAGCUAAGCACCAGGCUAUUAAUUCAUAUACAGUGUCUAACCCUUUCAAUAUUAAAUAUUACAUCCCUUUCACAGAUCAGAGAAUUGAGGCAUCAGAGAUUAAGUAACUUACCAGUGCCACACAGCAAAUACAUAAUAAAACCAAAUAUUCAGCAUGGAUCUGUCUGAUUCCACAGUCCAUCCUUAUAUGUCAAAGGAAUU